rfam:Halobiforma lacisalsi AJ5 contig_40, whole genome shotgun sequence.
CUGAAGGGCGCGUCCGGGUCAAUUGCGGAAUGCAACACCCGAUCUCCCUCAACACCCCUCCUGACAUGGAGGUCGAAGAGGGGGAGCGCGUGACCGUCAG